GACAGAGGUGCCAAGCGUUAGGCGGAAUCACUGGGCUUAAAGCGUGUGUAGGCGGAUUUGUAAGUACCUUGUGAAAUCCCACGGCUCAACCGUGGAACUGCUCGGUAUACUGCUUAUCUUGAGCCACUUAGGGGCUACCGGAACAAAUGGUGGAGCGGUGAAAUGCGUAGAUAUCAAGUAGAACACCAGUGGCGAAGGCGAGUCCCUGGAAAACUCCUGACACUGAGGCACGAAAGCUAGGGGAGCAAACAGG
rnacentral:rRNA from 1 species